rnacentral:lncRNA from 1 species
UUGAUGAGGGAGAGUGUUGGAGCCGUGAGGGCGAACGGAGAUGUUGCCGGAGGAGUUGGCGGAGAAGUAAGGAGCUCCCCAUCCGUCGAUGCGGUAGAGAGAGGAGGAGAGAGAGGGGCUCCACGUGUCGACGACGGCGGCGGUGGAGGAAGGCUGUGGUGACGGUGGGAUGAACACGUCGGUGGUGUAGGUGUCGACGCAAGCUAAAGCAGGCAUCUUGAUUCAAUACUCUGUUUUUGACGAAUCUAUUCGAAAGGUUUGAGGUGAAAACCGAGAGGUUGAUAUUGUAAGUCUGAACCGGAUCCGACCCGCCUAUAGCCUUUAAAACCCAUUCGCAUAACCCAUCAACAGAAGCUAACUGCUCAAUGCUCAAAACACCGUCUUUAAAGCCUUCAACACAUCUCUGCUUCAGCUUGUCAACGUAAAGUAAACACCUUUCUUGAUCCCCACGCAUCACAGCAGAGUACAGCUCCUCGUAAUCAUCACCUUCGAGCAAAAACUGAAUAUCAUCAUGAUCAGCUUGAUGUUUAACCGUUGAGACAGCUUCAAAGAUCAACACUGAGUGAUGAGAGACGAUAGCUCUUCCGCUUUCACUACAUAUCACAGGAUGCUUCACCGAUCUCCUCUCGCAUACAAACCUAACAGAAGCUACAACAGCUUCAGCGUACUCCUCGAGAGUAUAAGCCACAGAGAGAUCACUCUCUCCGGACUUAGACCCGUCGUAGUCAAUCCCCAACCCGCCACCAAUGUCUAUAACCUUCAUGUUCGCGCCGAGACGGACAAGCUCACAGUAGAGCUGAGCAGCUUCUGAGACACCAUCAGAUAGCAACGAAGUGGAUGGGAUCUGCGAGCCGAUGUGGAAAUGCAAAAGCUGGAGACAGUCAAGCAUACAAGCUUCACUAAGCUUCCUCACGACACGAACUAUCUGAGUAGUGGUCAAACCGAACUUCCCCUUCUCACCCGAAGUUGAACCGAAGUGACCAGAGUGUUUAGUCCUAAGCUUGGCUCGUAAACCAAUCACAGGCCUCACGUUCAUCUUGUGGCUAAGAUCGAUAACAAGAUCAAGCUCCUCUUCUUGCUCCAACACAAUCACAGUGUUCAACGCUAGCUUCCUUCCCAACAGAGCUAGCGAGACAUACUCAGCGUCUUUGAAGCCGUUACAUAUAAGAAAGGCUUCGUUGUUGCCUUUACAUAAACAACUCAUAGCGAGGAGGAUCUCCGGUUUAGAUCCAGCUUCCAAACCGAACCGGAAUUGAGAUCCGAAUCUCACAAUGUCCUCCACGACGAACCGGUCUUGAUUGCAUUUCACCGGGUACACUCCUUGGUAAUGAGACUCGUACCCUUGGCUCUGUACCGCGAAAUCGAACGCGGAUUGGAGACACUCGAGGCGGUUUUUAAGAACGUCAGGGAACCGGACGAUAACCGGGAGGUGUAAUCCUAAACCGCCGGUUUGUUUCGGAUCUGUUACUUUCUUGACGAGUUUCAACAGAUCGAUGUCUUGAUGAGGGAGAGUGUUGGAGCCGUGAGGGCGAACGGAGAUGUUGCCGGAGGAGUUGGCGGAGAAGUAAGGAGCUCCCCAUCCGUCGAUGCGGUAGAGAGAGGAGGAGAGAGAGGGGCUCCACGUGUCGACGACGGCGGCGGUGGAGGAAGGCUGUGGUGACGGUGGGAUGAACACGUCGGUGGUGUAGGUGUCGACGCAAGCUAAAGCAGGCAUCUUGAUUCAAUACUCUGUUUUUGACGAAUCUAUUCGAAAGGUUUGAUUUUUUUGAUUACCAGAUUUUGUGAAGGUAAGGGGUUUGAAAACCGCCGAGGCCGGAGCCUCGGCUACCCCCUCAGGAGAAGGCAGAAGAUGUAUCUGUCGCCGCCGUGAAACCCACCUCGAGCAGCGCGGCCUGAUCCGAGAAUCUCCACGGUGAAUGUUUCAGAAGAAAGGUGGAGACUUUAAUUUAAAAAAACAGGGUUUUUUUUUUACGAAUUUGAGAAACAACAGAUUCUAUUCCCCGACCAUGCAGAGAGAGAGAUAAUGGAUUUAUAUGGAGAGAAGGGGGACGAGAAUGUGAAGUUUCUCGGGGAAAAUGCAAAGAGAAACAGAGCGGAAAGUGAGGGAGAAGGGUGUGAGAUUGAUGAAGGGGAAGUGGUAUUGUUUAU